GUUUGUGUCUCUAUAGACGUGGAGAGAACAGGAACACAUGUUUUCUGUACUACAUGGCUAAUGCAGGAUACAGGGCUGCAGUUGUUGGGUGAAGCUUUGCCCGAAAGUUGAGAAAUGGUGAGUAACCUCUAGAUGAGGUUCCUGCUCUCCUAUGGGUGGAAGUAAAUGCUUCCAGCAAUCCUUCUCAAGGGUGCAGCGCAAGGAUGCAGAACAGGAGUCGCAGACCAAAGCAGAGAUCCAGGAUAUGAAGCAAGAGUUAUCCGCGGUCAAUAUGAUGGACAAGUUUGCCAGAUCUGCCAGGCUGGAAAGAAAGAUCAACAAGAUGAUGAAUAAGCUCAAAACUCAUGUGAAAGUACAGACAGCUCAAUCAGGAAUGCUAAAAUGGGUUAUAAGUGUUGCUUUCUACAAAUUGCCAGGUACCGUGAUCAGGCUAUAAGGCAGUCUUGUGGGGUUAUCCAUUACUUGACAGGGUCUCGCUCUGUUGCCCAGGCUGGAGUGCAGUGGGCCAUCUAGGCUCACUGUAGCCUCUGCCACCCGGGUUCAAGUGACCUUCCCACUUCAGCCUCACAAGUAGCUGGCACUAAAAGUGCUUGCCACCAUACCCGGAUAAUUUUCAUAUUUUUUGUAAAGACAGGGUCUCACCAUGUUGCCCAGACUGGUCGCGUUUUCUUCCUCUGUUUAAAAUGGCAUUUGUUGGACAAGCAUUUGUAUAGUACUAUGUACUUACUUGAAGCUGUUAAUUUUUCAUUACAAUGUUUUGUAAAUUUCUUCAUGAGGCCAUAAUGCAUUGUUUUGUGCUCAAAUUUUGCAUUGUAUUUAAAGCAUUCAAGUGAAAUAUAUUUUAUAUAACAUUUAAUAUUUAUGCUCUGUUGAAUGGAAAGAGGUAAAAAACAAAUUUAGGAAGCCUGGUUAAAUUAAACUGAACUGAAACCUGUUUGGCCCAUAA
rnacentral:lncRNA from 1 species